GGUCACGUGGUGUAAUGGUUAGCACUUGGGAUUCUGAUUCUUGGAUCUCAUCGAAAUCCUAACUCGAAGAUUUCCCACAAUCUGGGUUCGAUUCCCAGCGAGACCU